AUCAGGAAACUUCUCCUCUUCACUCUCAUUUUCUCUCUCCUCAUUUGACUCUUCCUCUUCUCCCCUCACCCGAUCCUCCCUCUCUUCACCGGCUAUUCCUCUCUCCUCCAUCUCCGUUGUUCGUCGGCACCGUGGUGGCCGUUGUUUUCGUCGUCGACGUUGCUACAACCUCGCAAAUAGGUAAUCUCUCUAGCCCAUUUCGUGAUUUGAUUUGAUUAAAACCCUAAUUUAUCAAACCCUAACUCUAUUUUCGUUGGUUCUCAACUCUCCUCCGGUGAGAGGCCGUGUCGCCGCCUCCGUUGGCUCGCCACCGUCACUGGUGACCAUCGGGUGGUUGCGGUUGCUGUUGUUGUGUGGUUGUCCUGUGUCUUCCUCCUAUGCUACCCCUACCUCGCACUACUUUCUCUCUCUUUCUCCGCUCGCCGAAGCUUCGUGGCUCGGUGGAGCCGCUGCCGCUGCUGGUGUUGUUGCAGUGGUGUUGACUAUUGCUUCUCUACUUUUCCAUUUCCUUAAGGGUAUUAUGAAGUGGAGAAUGAACAAGGAGAAUCGUAUCAUGGAAGUUGAGUGGAGAAUGGUGAUCGAUAUAUAGCCUUGAGAGUUAUGAAUGGAUAUUAAAGAGUUAAAAUGUUUUGCAGGUAGCAAGAGUUAGGUCUCAGUUCAGAUUCAAGGUUCGUAGAGUUCUCAAAUGGCCUUAUGUGUCCAAGGUUGGAUUGUGGAUUCAUCAAAUGUAAUUUAGUUCAUAGAGUUUGUUAAAGGGCCGUAUAAUUUCUUCUUAAAGUUUUUUUUAGUUUAUAAUUUGUGGGUUAUAUAUCUGUAUUGGAGUCGUAGUUAAGUUAAGUUUCUUUGGUUUAAAGUUAAAUGUGCUUAGAAGUAGCUCAUUAAGUGUGGGCUGUUAUAGUGACACCCUGGUGAUGUUUUGGGAUAUGUUAUAUAUUUGGAAUCAUGUCAUUAAAGCAGGUGAAAGAGAAUCUGACGUAAUUUCCUAAA